AAUCGUACAUUGUUAUCCCCAUCGGUUUGUAUUUAUGAGAAGCGUCAAUAUCGCUUUAGUCUCAUCCAAAACAUCACAUACAUGCUGACAUGAAAAAAGCCCUCUGGCACUAAAAUGGUUUCUUCCAGCAAAGUGAAAGUAACAGUUAAAGGAGGCAUAUUUCCCUCAAAAUAACUGCGUCACAUUAUCCUAGCACAAAAAUCAUUCAGUAGAGGAGAUAAUCAGACGGACCAGUACAGCUCUGUGAGGAAAGAAUGAGUCAAGUUCAAAAAACCAAAGAUGGAGAUUUUUCUCCGGGAUGCAGUUCACUCCAGCAGAAGAGCUCAGAUUCAGCAGAGCCCAGCUGUGUGUCCAUGAAGAGUGACUGGUCUAUAGAUCCUCCACCAGCAAUGAAGGGUGGAGACAGGCAUAGUGUCAG